GAUGAACGCUGGCGGCGUGCAUAACACAUUCAAGUCGAACGAGGUAGCAAUACCUAGUGGCGGACGGGUGAGUAACGCGUGAGCAACCUGCCCUUGUGUGGGGGAUACCGUCUGGAAACGGACGUUAAUACCGCAUAACGUUACGGAAUCGCAUGGUUCUGUAACCAAAGAUUUAUUGCGCAAGGAUGGGCUCGCGUUGGAUUAGAUAGUUGGUGAGGUAACGGCCCACCAAGUCUGCGAUCCAUAGCCGGACUGAGAGGUUGGCCGGCCACAUUGGGACUGAGACACGGCCCAGACUCCUACGGGAGGCAGCAGUGGGGAAUAUUGGGCAAUGGGCGCAAGCCUGACCCAGCAACGCCGCGUGAAGGAAGAAGGCUUUCGGGUUGUAAACUUCUUUUGUCAGGGACGAAUUCUGACGGUACCUGACGAAUAAGCCACGGCUAACUACGUG
rnacentral:rRNA from 1 species